AUGGGUCACUGUGAUUGCAGGCACCAAGGAGGAGGGCAGCCUGACCACCUGCAUGAGCUGGGGCAGCUGCUCCUUAGGAUAGGAACAGCCUGGGCACAGCUGGUGGGAUGGGAUGGGAUGGGGAGUUUCUUCUCCACAGCAGAGCCAGCAGCAGGCUGUGCAGGGGGUGCUACCGAAAUCACAGGGGCUGCAGGGUUGGAAGAUGGCCCCAGCAGGCCCCUCCUGAAUGGGGCACUGCGCUGUGUAAGGGCAGAUGCAGUGCCACUGCUUCCUGCUCCUCACCUCCCAGCCACUUCCAGCAGCACUGGUGGGUGUCCCACCAGGAAAUCCCUCCAGAAUUGUUGCUGGCAGGGAACUGCAUCUGAGCGACCAAAGGGAAGACCAAAGAACCAAGGGCAGACAUCCCAAGGCCGGUGUUUUCCACAGGGGCGAUGUGGAGAAGCAGGCCCCGGUGUGGGCACAGCCAGAGAAGAAAUCUAUGGAAGCCAACCCACACGGUGUUGGGGACCUUGCUGGGAGAGGGCAGCAAGCACCCUGGGGAGCCGUCCUUCUGCUGCAAGGAGGCUGCAGAUGCAAGGCUCUGUCUUGGACCUCUCUCCCCUGGAAAUGUUGCCACGUGCAUAAAGCCACAGGGCUGUGUUUCUGCUUCAGUGUUCAGGUCAAAUGAACGCAGGUUUGCCCAUCUACAUGUCCCAUGACUGUUUGGAAACAGAGAAACA
rnacentral:lncRNA from 1 species